rnacentral:tRNA from 1 species
CAUUAAGAAGCUUUCAUGAAUAAGCAAUAGCCUUUUAAGCUGGAGUUCGGUAAUAAAUUACCCUUAAUGA